rnacentral:misc_RNA from 1 species
CUUGGUCAUUUAGAGGAAGUAAAAGUCGUAAUAAGGUCUCCGUUGGUGAACCAGCGGAGGGAUCAUUACCGAGUUUACAACUCCCAAACCCCUGUGAACAUACCUUUAUGUUGCCUCGGCGGAUCAGCCCGCGCCCCGUAAAACGGGACGGCCCGCCGCAGGAACCACAAAACUCUGAUUUUAGUGUAACUUCUGAGUCUAAAAAACAAAUAAAUCAAAACUUUCAACAACGGAUCUCUUGGUUCUGGCAUCGAUGAAGAACGCAGCAAAAUGCGAUAAGUAAUGUGAAUUGCAGAAUUCAGUGAAUCAUCGAAUCUUUGGACGCACAUUGCGCCCGCCAGUAUUCUGGCGGGCAUGCCUGUUCGAGCGUCAUUUCAACCCUCAAGCCCCCGGGUUUGGUGUUGGGGAUCGGGCUGUACUCCAGCCCGGCCCCGAAAUCUAGUGGCGGUCUCGCUGCAGCCUCCAUUGCGUAGUAGCUAACACCUCGCAACUGGAACGCGGCGCGGCCAAGCCGUUAAACCCCCAACUUCUGAAUGUUGACCUCGGAUCAGGUAGGAAUACCCGCUGAACUUAAGCAUAUCAAUAAGCGGAGGA